AAAUGAGUUUUACCAGCCUGGAGGCUUUUCCUUCCCCUCCCUGAAGGAGUGGGAGGCCCUGAACAGAUUCCUGGAUGCUCUGGGGGAUGCAAAUGGAGCAGAGAGGGCCCCUGGGAGCUGCUCUCCUGGCAGAGCCUACCUGGCUUCACAGCAGGAAUUUGGAUGCCUUGGAUAUAAUUCUCUUCUAAAGAAAGGAAAAUUAACCCAGGGAACAAAGGAGAAGAGGAUUUCCCUUGGAAGUGAAAUUUCAAACCCCAGCUGGCUUUGCUAAAAAUAAACUCGUUCAAACCUUUGGAUUUCAUU